rnacentral:rRNA from 1 species
GACGAACGCUGGCGGCGUGCCUAAUACAUGCAAGUCGAACGCAGGGGGGACGGGUGAGUAACACGUGGGUAACCUCCCAUCAGAGGGGAUAACACUUGGAAACAGGUGCUAAACUGAUACUGAUGGAUGGACACGCGGUGCAUUAGCUAGUGGGUGAGGUAACGGCCGACAAAGGCCACGAUGCAUAGCCGACCGGAGAGGGUGAUCGGCCACACUGGGACUGAGACACGGCCCAGACUCCUACGGGAGGCAGCAGUGGGGAAUCGUCGGCAAUGGACGAAAGUCUGACCGAGCAACGCCGCGUGGGUGAAGAAGGUUUUCGGAUCGUAAACCUCUGUUGUUAGGGAGGCGGUAUCUAACCAGAAAGCCACGGCUAACUACGUGCCAGCAGCCGCGGUAAUAC